rnacentral:siRNA from 1 species
AUUGGGAACAACAUUGACUUU